rnacentral:rRNA from 1 species
UACGUAGGCAGCAAGCGUUGUUCGGAGUUACUGGGCGUAAAGGGCGCGUAGGCGGCCUUGCAAGUCGGUUGGUGAAAGCCCGGGGCUCAACCCCGGAGGUGCGGCCGAGACUGCAGGCUGGAGGCCGGAAGAGGAGGGUGGAAUACCAGUGUAGAGGUGAAAUUCGUAGAUAUUGGGUGGAACACCGGUGGCGAAAGCGGCUCUCUGGUCCGGACCUGACGCUGAGGCGCGAAAGCGUGGGGAGCAAACAGG